UUCAUACUUUACAACCACAAUUAAACUGACAUAGAAGUUUUUUCAUAAUUCCUCUUUUCUCCACUCAAGGCGCCGCCUGACUCAGAUUUGUAUCUCUCCGGUGGCUGGGCUCAUCGCCGGCGCCGGAGAGACCCCCUCUCUCUUCUUUUCUUUUAUUUGGCUUGUCGAUGUGGUGGUAUUAUCUGGCUUUGGAGAAGGUGACGAGUCUUGUCGGAUUCCCAUGUCUUCCGUGGUCGUUUUCUGGCCCUUGUUCAAGUAUUUCGUUUUGGCCUUUGUCCAAGAGGAGCUUGUGCGGUAGGGAGUUUUCUUGUUUCAUGAGAUUGUGUCCUCUUUGGAUCGUAUUUGAUUCAGCGUAAUAUGAUAUUCAAAGGGCUUUGUGUUGUUGAGUUAGGUUUUGUUGGUCUAUGUUAUUUGUUGGGUAGCUUAGUUUCUCUCGCAACUGAAUAGUUUAUUGUCGGCUUUAGGUUCUUCGUUGCCCUUCAUCAAUCUCAAGACCUUGUUGAUGCUUGUUCUCGGUUCUUGUCAGAGAGUGUUAUGAAGAUUAGCUAAUCUUAGCUUGCCGGAUUAUGAAGAGGUGGUCUCUUAUUAUUUUGCGAGUAGGAAGAUGUAUCUUGAUUUGCUGUGGACAUCAAUCGUAUGUAGCAACAAGGGUCCUACUUGGCUGUAUCAGUUACUGCCGUUGGAGUCGUAUGUGAGACUCAUCGUAAGAGAAGAGAGGUUUAAGAGCAACUCCGUUCUUCGUGCUUGGUGUCUCACAAUCUCACGCCUCUCUUUGAUCUUUGAAUUUACAUUUUCCCACAUUUGGAUGGGAUUAAUUCAUGAUGCCUAUUGGUGUUUUUUCUAUUUAAAUUUUAUUACUAGCCGGUUUGGCUCAGUGUUGUAAGAACAUUUUGAAAUACAAGCGUUAAAAAAAAAGGUAGGCCGUGGUUA